GAAACCUGUCGCGGGGUGACGUACUCUUGAAAGUCUUUGGAGCGAAAAUUCGUCUCGUCGAGCGUUACUCUGUCCUUACAAGUACUUCCAUUUCGACUUUAUCAACAUUUCUACACUUCUAUCUGCUUCAUACAAAUAAUUAUUGGCCGGUCACGGGACUGAAAGAAUAGGGGUUCACAUCACAGACGCCAUAGACGAUUAAUAAUCGAUAAUUCGAACUGAUACGAAAUGGACGCCGCAUUUACCAUGCUUCGCAAACGAUUAGAUUAUCAACAUUCCUAGUUUUUCAUAACUUGUGCUUUUUCUUGUGCUUCGGAAAGGACGCAGUGAUGCUUCGAAACUAAGCAUGUUUAUCGCUCCUUUCUCUGUCUCCUGUUUCCUAAAAGGGACCAAGUGGGGCUUCAAAAGCUAAGAGUUUUUUUUCCAUGAUGGAAUUGCAUGGCUCCUCCUCGAUGGCGGUCUUCACGACGAUUUCCC